AGUCUGGUGCCAGCAGCCGCGGUAAUUCCAGCUCCAAUAGCGUAUAUUAAUGUUGUUGUGGUUAAAAAGCUCGUAGUUGGAUCUCGGCGGGCAGCGGUCGGUCCGAAUCGCUUCGGUACUGACGCGUUUGGCCCGUGUGUGUUUGCCGACUUCCGGGCCGGUGCUCUUGAUCGGGUGUCGGCUUCAGGGGUCGGGCCGGUUUCGGCCGCGCUCGGCCCUGCGGAUCGGCAGUUUUACUUUGAAAAAAUUAGGGUGCUCAAAGCAGGCUUGUCACGCUUGAAUAUUCGUGCAUGGAAUAAUGGAAUAGGAAGUCGUUCCUAUUUUGUUGGUUUUCGGGAACCGACUUAAUGAUUAAUAGGGACAGUCGGGGGCAUUUGUAUUCAGACGCUAGAGGUGAAAUUCUUGGACCGUCUGAAGACAAACUACUGCGAAAGCAUUUGCCAAGGAUGUUUUCAUUAAUCAAGAACGAAAGUUAGAGGUUCGAAGGCGAUUAGAUACCGCCCUAGUUCUAACCAUAAACUAUGC
rnacentral:rRNA from 1 species